GAUGAACGCUGGCGGCGUGCCUAACACAUGCAAGUCGAGCGGCAGCGAGGGGUGCUUGCACCCUGUCGGCGAGCGGCGGACGGCUGAGUAACGCGUGGGAACGUGCCCCAAAGUGAGGAAUAACUGCCCGAAAGGGUAGCUAAUACCGCAUAUUAUCUUCGGAUCAAAGGAUUUAUCCGCUUUGGGAGCGGCUCGCGUCGGAUUAGGUAGGUGGUGAGGUAAUGGCUCACCAAGCCGACGAUCCGUAGCUGGUCUGAGAGGAUGACCAGCCAGACUGGAACUGAGACACGGUCCAGACUCCUACGGGAGGGAGCAGUGAGGAAUCUUCCACAAUGGGCGAAAGCCUGAUGGAGCAACGCCGCGUGAAGGACGAAGGCCUUCGGGUUGUAAACUGCUUUUAUAAGUGAGGAAUAUGACGGUAACUUAUGAAUAAGGAUCGGCUAACUACGUG
rnacentral:rRNA from 1 species